GACGAACGCUGGCGGCGUGCUUAACACAUGCAAGUCGAACGGAAAGGCCCUGCUUUUGUGGGGUGCUCGAGUGGCGAACGGGUGAGUAACACGUGAGUAACCUGCCCUUGACUUUGGGAUAACUUCAGGAAACUGGGGCUAAUACUGGAUAGGAGCUCCUGCUGCAUGGUGGGGGUUGGAAAGUUUCGGCGGUUGGGGAUGGUCUCGCGGCUUAUCAGCUUGUUGGUGGGGUAGUGGAUUACCAAGGCUUUGACGGGUAGCCGGCCUGAGAGGGUGAACGGCCACAUUGGGCCUGAGAGACGGCCCAGACGGCUACGGGACGCAGUAGUGGGGAAUAUUGCACAACGGGCGGAAGCCAGAUGCAGCAACGCCGCGUUCGGGAUGACGGCCUUCGGGUUGUAAACCGCUUUCGCCGGUGACGAAGCGUGAGUGACGGUAAUGGGUAAAGAAGCACCGGCUAACUACGUG
rnacentral:rRNA from 1 species